rnacentral:lncRNA from 1 species
UGUAUUUUUUUCAUUUAAAAUCAAAAAGAGAUAUUUAAGAUUAUAAGACAGAAUAUUGUUUAGCAUCAGUAUGGUCAUGUCGUUAUCUUUUUUUAUAAGGUUUCGGGGGUUCAAUUUUUUUUGUUUUAUAAAAUUAAAUAUCAUUAGAUGGCAAUAACUGGCAGGAUUCGAGAUUACCUGCCACAAGUUUUUGCAUCUAUCUGUAGUACUGAGACCAAAUCAUCACACCAUUGUGUGGCACCAGCUAUCCAAUCCAUUGCCAUCAUCGAUAUUGGUUGCCUGGUUGCCACACAAUUGUACCCGAAUGUGGUGUAUGGGUGUGUGCAAACUCAGCACCACGAAAACUUGUGAUAGAUAAUUUUAAAUCAUGCCCACUAAAUACUAAAGUAAGGGGCAAUAGACAUUUUGCUUGCAUCACUUCUAUAGAAUAUUAUUCAGUAUCAAUUUGUGCAUAUCUGUCUCUUUAUAUCAACUAUUUUUUAUUGAAAAAACUACAGUUACACUGCCAAGAUAAUACAAACCUAGUAAAACAAGCACUUUUGCCAGGAAGAUGUAUCAACAUACACAAAAGAAUUGCAAGA